UAAAAAAGGAAACUGGCGGUAAAGCCACUCUCUCUCUCUGCGGUUGGAUCCAUUUUCUUCUUGUGAAUCUGAGAUGUUCGAUUCUGCAUCUGCAACCGGAGAGCGUCUCUCUCGCCCUCGGCGAACUAGCUCACAAGCAAUUCGAAAGUCCAGAGAGCUUCAUCUGCGCCUGAAGACGAUUCAGCUCUCGCAGGCUUCGCAGAUCGGAAGCACCAUACAAAUUCAAAGGAUGUUCUCUUAUUGGUGGUAGACAAAUGAAGAACAUUGUCUUAUCUAUUGGAACUACCUAGAUGAUGGAGUUUGUGACUUUAAAAUGCAAAGGUGGAGAGUUAGUAUACAAACCUUGCAAAUGCACUUGCAAAAUGCC